CAUAGGAACGCCCAGAGCUCUAGAUUUGGUAUCAUUGUGUGUUUGGAAGCUGUUAUCUUUACGUGAGGCAGGGCGGGACGGCUGAGAGGAGCGCUCUCUCACCACUCUCACCAGUGGCUAAUUAACAAUGUGGCCCCAGUUAAAGUCUGCUGUCUCCCGGGCUCCCGUGUCGGAUUAUUGUCUCCCAUCGACGCAACGCGCAUGCCAGCGUGUUUGCUCAGCCUGCGCUCUGUACCCUGCCCAGCCUUCCACCGAACCUGCCAGCAGCCCACCCCCGGGCCUCUCCUCACGAUCCCCUGGACACGAGACCCCCUGAAUAAAUCCUUUCUUUUUGAC
ensembl:lncRNA